AGAAAAAGAAGUAAAAAUGAAGUUGGAAAAGAAGCAAAGAAGAAGGCCAAGCGGCGGACCUCUUUUUUUCUCCUUUUUAAUUUUUUUUUU
rnacentral:ribozyme from 14 species